UACAGAGGGUGCGAGCGUUAAUCGGAGUUACUGGGCGUAAAGGGUGCGUAGGCGGUUGAUUGAGUGUGAUGUGAAAGCCCCGGGCUUAACCUGGGAAGUGCAUCGCAAACGAGUCAACUGGAGUAGAUGAGAGGGUGGCGGAAUUUCCGGUGUAGCGGUGAAAUGCGUAGAGAUCGGAAGGAACGUCGAUGGCGAAGGCAGCCACCUGGCAUCAUACUGACGCUGAAGCACGAAAGCGUGGGGAGCGAACAGG
rnacentral:rRNA from 1 species